rnacentral:lncRNA from 1 species
GGCAUGGAUCCUUCUUGGGCAUCCUACCUACUAGUGUAAGAUAUCACAUCAUUAAAUCUCAUCCCUUGAUUGAUUAUGUAUGCGAAGCCAAUUGGAUUGGAGUUCAUCCUACUUUCCUGCGGCGUUUGACGUGCAUGCGAAGUGGAGGGUCUGCAUAUCCAGGCCUCCACGAAGGUUUAUAUCAGAUAAUUUAGAAUUUGAUCUCU